rnacentral:rRNA from 1 species
AGUGAACGCUGGCGGUAGGCCUAACACAUGCAAGUCGAACGGCAGCACAGUAAGAGCUUGCUCUUACGGGUGGCGAGUGGCGGGCGGGUGAGGAAUACAUCGGAAUCUACUUUUUCGUGGGGGAUAACGUAGGGAAACUUACGCUAAUACCGCAUACGACCUACGGGUGAAAGCAGGGGAUCUUCGGACCUUGCGCGAUUGAAUGAGCCGAUGUCGGAUUAGCUAGUUGGCGGGGUAAAGGCCCACCAAGGCGACGAUCCGUAGCUGGUCUGAGAGGAUGAUCAGCCACACUGGAGCUGAGACACGGUCCAGACUCCUACGGGAGGCAGCAGUGGGGAAUAUUGGACAAUGGGCGCAAGCCUGAUCCAGCCAUACCGCGUGGGUGAAGAAGGCCUUCGGGUUGUAAAGCCCUUUUGUUGGGAAAGAAAAGCAGCAGGUUAAUACCCCGCUGUUCUGACGGUACCCAAAGAAUAAGCACCGGCUAACUUCGUG